rnacentral:tRNA from 1 species
GGGAUGGUGGCUCAGUGGUAGAGUGCUUGCCUCCCAUGCAAGAAGCCCUGGGUUCGAUUCCUCACUCCCA